CACCCCGUUCUCGAGAGAUUCGAGCUCGCAUUGGCGAUCGUCGCUCUCCGUCGACUCUCUCCACCUCGUUCGAUCCCGUCCCUCCGGACCCUCGCCCGCUCCUCCUCGUCCUCGGCCGCCGCCGCGCCACGAUCACCACCGGCCUCAUCGAUGCCUGCUCGGCCAUGUGCGGCGAGGUUAACAUCACCCAGGAGUGGCUCGACAAGCUCCCGCCCGCAUCCUCCGACGAGCGGCUACGCACUCACCAUGGCUUCCAAUAGCCGACAGGCAUGCCGGGCUCGGGUGCCAUGUCGUCCUCCAGCCCGAUCUACAAGGAGGCCCUGCCACAACCUUCCGAACUCAUUCUCUAUGACACCAUCAAUAGCAGAAUUGAAACUUGAGUUACUUGAGAAAGAAUGUGAAACAGUUUACAAGGUCUGAUGCUUUAUUGCCAUUCUGAAAGCAGAUAUGAUAUCAUACUUAGGUACUUAAGAUUUGCUCCACAGCACCAUUUGGUUGAGAAAGACUAACAUCAUUAAUAUAAGUGAUAACUUCAGCACAAAAGAAAGGAAAAAAGAGAACAAUACAUUGGAAAGAAGAGCAAAACUUAUUGCCCAGUUACUGUCGCAGGUAAAAUUUCACCAAGGACCAAUAAAGGCUACUUUAUAUGCACAUAUUACUUGAAGAGAAAAUUACUUGCGACGGCGAUUACACUUGUCAAGAACCUAAUUCACAUUCAUUUCUUUUCCCAUCCAACCACUUUGAGUGGAAAUAUGAGUCCUGAAUGGGGAAGCUAAUCCCGAAAGUUCCAGUCAGACAAGCUUCCCCUUUCUAAUAUAUCAUCAAAUGAAUUUGAGAGCUUUAUUCUAACCUCUUAGAUCUGCAAAACAUUUGUAAACUAAGAUCAUUAAACUUAUCCAGAACAAGUAUAAGAUGAAAUCUAAGAUAUUACAAUCAGCAGGAUGCCAAAUUGUGAUUCAGAUACAUAUGAGCAUCUCAUUCUUUGUCUUUCACAUAUCUGUAUAGUCACAGAAAGAUGAAACUACAAAGCAUUCUCAUCUAGAAAUUGUUAGAGAUUCUCUAUUAGCCCUUUACAAUAUCAAGUUUAAUUUUCUUAAUAUCAACUUUAACCAAAAAUUUUAUUAUUUCAUCCAAAACCAGGGUUUGCAAUACUAUUCGGUAUGAUUUAGUAUGAUGAGUGGAGUCUAUCGACUUCUACCAGAUGAUUUUUUUUUUCUAUUUUUCAGCUUUCUUCGUGAUUUGUUCAUAACUCAAAGCAUACCGACUAGUGAAAUCAUUAGUUGCCCAAGCAUUCACCUAGGGGAGGUGAGGUGAGGUGAAGCGAGGCCCGAGUGCCCACCUAAUGAACUGGGUGGGCGUCAACGCUCGCCGGGCGGAUGCCUGGUUCAACUCAGGCUAGUUCGAGCCUGAGUUGAACCAAAGAAUUGUAUCUGGUUCAGUUCAACCGGUUAGACCCUAAGUCGAUGACCACAGAGUUUGAUUGAGACCUGUCCACGUGUGAGCCCUAACACAGAAACCCUUUCUCACUUCUUUUUUGCACGGUGACGGAGUUCCUCCCAUCGAUGAACGACAGCAGCGGCGGCAGCAACGUCUUCUUCCAGCAGCAGCGGCUGCAGCAACAUCUUCCUCCAGCGGCAGCAUCUUCCUUUAGCAGCAACGGCAAUGGCUUCUUCCCCUCCCUCCCGGUAUAUCUCUCUCUUCCACUCCUUCCCUGUUCACCGCAGCCCUCCUACGUUCACCGCAGCCUCUUCCCUCUUCCCUGUUCAUCGCUGCCUUCUUCUCCAUUCACCGCAGGCCUCCCAUAGCCUCUUCCCUCUUCCCCAUUCAUUGCUGUCUUCUUCCCCUUUCACCACUGCCUUCUUCCCCAUUAACCGUUGCCUUCUUCCCCAUUCACUGCAGCCAUCCUACAGCCUCUUCCCUCUUCCCUCUUCCCUUUUCCCCUCCCUCUUCCCCGUUCACGGCUGCCACUUCAUUGCUGUUUGUCAAUUUAAACUUAGAAUAGUUGCCUGCUUUGCUGUUAGCCUUUGUUGUUUGUUUAUGUUUGUGAGAACAGCAGUUGCCUGCUGUAGUGAAUCAGUUGUAAAAUGUCGAUUAUUAUUGCUAUUGCUGUAGUUAUUAGUGCUAGUUUUUAGUGUUUUGGAUUAUUGCUUUAGAUGGUGACAAGAUUGAAGAUGAGGAACUGAAUUUUAAUGAUCUUUGAUGUUAAUCUUGUUUUAUUUUGUCAUUUUGUUAUUGAAUAUGGACAAUGUAGUUUGGUACUUUAAUGAAUGAAAGUUUGAUGUGUUUUUUU